rnacentral:rRNA from 1 species
CGGGACGGGUGAGUAAUGUAUGGGGAUCUGCCUGAUGGCGGGGGAUAACUACUGGAAACGGUAGCUAAUACCGCAUAAUGUCUGCGGACCAAAGCGGGGGACCUCCGGGCCUCGCGCCAUCAGAUGAACCCAUAUGGGAUUAGCUAGUAGGUAAGGUAACGGCUUACCUAGGCGACGAUCCCUAGCUGGUCUGAGAGGAUGAUCAGCCACACUGGGACUGGGACACGGCCCAG